GUUAUGCGUUUGUCCCCGUGACGUUACUUGUUUUGGAGCAGGCGGUGGUUUUCCUCCCGUCAACAGGUCUCCUCUUCAUCAACAGCCCGUCCAGCCUGUAAUUACCGAAAUACCAUCCGGCAGAGACACGCUGGGAGGAAACGACAACGCCGUGCAGCUCUCAGUUCACAGCACCUUUUCCACGACUUGAAUAAAACAUGCAGCCUGCUGUGUGUGUGUGUGUGUGUGUAUUUUGUGUCAGCUGCCAGUACAUACAUAUGAAUGAAUAAUGAUUUUAAGAACACAAAUUGUUUGAGAAUAUCUCACAUUCCAGUUGAGCUUGGACUGCCAGAGAAAGCUGGGAGCCCUUCGUGCCGCCUGUAGAUGACUCCCUCGUUAAAAGAGACACAAGCUGGGCUGGACACCACACACACACACACGCACACGAUGAUGUGUGGUCCGCCACGUGACAGCAAAUCACUACAUUUGUCAAACUUUUCACCCGUUAUUACCUCAAUCUACGGUGGAAUAUAAUUUUAAAAAGAACAAAUUAAGCUGUAACCCUUUUUACAGUCAAUGGGAAUAAAAGGAAUCAAUUCCUGGCAAUUCCUAUAUAAAUAAAAAAUAAACAAUUUGCGUUUUAAUAAUAACGGAUGAAACUCACUACAUCAGGGUUGUGAGGUUUAUUGCAACAUUAAGCAGUUUCACACUACGGCCUCUCAUACUUGUUGAUAAUUGUUCCCUUGGGCUUUUCUGAAAUCCUCCUUCCAUAUCGCAUCGACACAAAUAUAGAUUAUGAACUUGCCUCAACUCCAAACAGACUCACUCAUCCGUGUACAGUGCUAUGGAGGCACUGGGUAGUGUUUGCUCACACUGUUCCUCUUUGAAACCCUUUACAACAGGGUUGAUAUUAUUCCAUUGCCUGCAGUAAUGGCAUGGUGCAUGACAGCAUGUGUGUGUGUGUGUGUGUGUGUGUGUGUGUGUGGUGGUGGGGGGGGGUUGCUCUGUAAUCUGGGAGCACCAUCUGUGGGUGUCAGAUGAAGCUGCCACUUAGGGGGCAUAACCCACUAACUCAAUCACCACGUUAACACAGACAGUUGGAGCUUCAACAGUCCUGUCCGAGUAAAGGUGGCGCGCCAGAAAAGACAAAUGUCUUAAGUCUAUUCAGGCUGUCCCUCAGUGUAUUGUACAAUCUGGACAACCAGUUGAGGCUUCAUUUACUCUCAUCGAUAACUUAGAAGGUCACAUGGACACAUUUUUUGUUGCGGGUAACGGUUCCGUGGGCGGAUUCGACGUGAUGCAUCAACCCAGAGUGACGUCAAUAUGACCCGCAAACGUUCAGCGGGUGGAGCCAAACUUCUCUAGCUAGAAGAAAGGGAUGACUGUCGUCUGUUAUACAACAUUCUUUACAAUUUCACACUUAACUAAAAAACACACGUCACACUUUCUUAAAUAAAUCGGGAGUGGAGUUUAUUCACAAGCUCUGAGGGAGUAAGAGUUUUGUUCAAAUGCUCAAACCUACCGUGGAAUACUUAUAGAAAGCCUGUGGGUGGUAAAGCAAAUGAAAAUCCAUCACGCUACAUCAUUACAUCUUAAGCAGUCGGUGCCACAAGUUUCCAGAGAAGCUUCAAUGCACAUUUACAUUUAUGAUACAAUAGCUUUGAAACAAAUGUACAUACCUUUUUUUUUUUUAAUAAA
ensembl:lncRNA